rnacentral:rRNA from 1 species
UACGUAGGGGGCAAGCGUUAUCCGGAUUUACUGGGUGUAAAGGGAGCGUAGACGGCAGUGCAAGUCUGAAGUGAAAGGCGGGGGCCCAACCCCCGGACUGCUUUGGAAACUGUGCUGCUGGAGUGCAGGAGAGGCAAGUGGAAUUCCUAGUGUAGCGGUGAAAUGCGUAGAUAUUAGGAGGAACACCAGUGGCGAAGGCGGCUUGCUGGACUGUAACUGACGUUGAGGCUCGAAGGCGUGGGGAGCAAACAGG